rnacentral:rRNA from 1 species
UACGUAGGGUGCAAGCGUUGUCCGGAAUUAUUGGGCGUAAAGAGCUCGUAGGCGGUUUGUCGCGUCUGCUGUGAAAACCCGAGGCUCAACCUCGGGCCUGCAGUGGGUACGGGCAGACUAGAGUGCGGUAGGGGAGAUUGGAAUUCCUGGUGUAGCGGUGAAAUGCGCAGAUAUCAGGAGGAACACCGGUGGCGAAGGCGGAUCUCUGGGCCUUACCUGACGCUGAGGCGCGAAAGCUAGGGGAGCGAACAGG